AUUGAACGCUGGCGGCAUGCCUUACACAUGCAAGUCGAACGGCAGCAUGGAGAGCUUGCUCUCUGAUGGCGAGUGGCGAACGGGUGAGUAAUGCAUCGGAACGUACCGUGUAAUGGGGGAUAACGUAGCGAAAGUUACGCUAAUACCGCAUACGACCUGAGGGUGAAAGCAGGGGAUCGCAAGACCUUGCGUUAUACGAGCGGCCGAUGUCAGAUUAGCUAGUUGGUGAGGUAAAGGCUCACCAAGGCGACGAUCUGUAGCGGGUCUGAGAGGAUGAUCCGCCACCCGGGGAGUGAGACACGGCCCAGACUCCUACGGGAGGCAGCAUUGGGGAAUUUUGGACAAUGGGGGCAACCCUGAUCCAGCCAUGCCGCGUGAGUGAAGAAGGCCUUCGGGUUGUAAAGCUCUUUCGGCCGGGAAGAAAUCGCACAGGCUAAUACUCUGUGUGGAUGACGGUACCGGCAUAAGAAGCACCGGCUAACUACGUGCCAGCAGCCGCCGUAAGAC
rnacentral:rRNA from 1 species